rnacentral:rRNA from 1 species
UGGGGAAUAUUGCACAAUGGGCGCAAGCCUGAUGCAGCCAUGCCGCGUGUGUGAAGAAGGCCUUCGGGUUGUAAAGCACUUUCAGCGGGGAGGAAGGCGAUAAGGUUAAUAACCUUGUCGAUUGACGUUACCCGCAGAAGAAGCACCGGCUAACUCCGUGCCAGCAGCCGCGAUAAUACGGAGGGUGCAAGCGUUAAUCGGAAUUACUGGGCGUAAAGCGCACGCAGGCGGUUUGUUAAGUCAGAUGUGAAAUCCCCGGGCUCAACCUGGGAACUGCAUCUGAUACUGGCAAGCUUGAGUCUCGUAGAGGGGGGUAGAAUUCCAGGUGUAGCGGUGAAAUGCGUAGAGAUCUGGAGGAAUACCGGUGGCGAAGGCGGCCCCCUGGACGAAGACUGACGCUCAGGUGCGAAAGCGUGGGGAGCAAACAGG